AUUGUCCACAAGGUACUUUAUGUGAGCAGACGUUUGGAAGCAGAACUUGCAUACCACGUGGUGACAUUGGCGGCGCCAUCAUUGGAGGAGGCAAAUAUGGUAGUGGACCCAUUCCCGACUACAGCAAGUUAAGUGGUCCGUUAGCGAGCAAUAAAGAGCUUUGUGGUGAAGUGGUCAACAACUGUCGGGCCAAAUCGCUUGGGUUCAACAUCGUCUACAAGUUCACUUUUGACCCCAUCCAGCAGACAUGCGUCAGGAUCCUGGUCUACGCGACAUGCAUAUCCGGAAAUCUGUUUGAUACGCCCUUGGAAUGCAGCAGGGUGUGUGAUGGUGGAAAGGCCUACUAGAAGCAGCAUCAAUUUAGCUCGUCUCUUAGAAAUCUACAAGGAGAUCAAAUCCUACCAUUCAAGGAAGAUUGAAAUAAUUUUAAAAAAUAUGGACUUACUCAGAAAGCUACUAAAAUAUCGUAGCCAGCAUCCUCGAACAAUUAAAAAAAACACUCUAUGGGAUAGUGUUCAAAUGAAGUGUUAGUUAACCCUUAAAACGCGUGUGGUAGUUUAGCCUUUAAAGAUCAGAAUUGUAUUUCCAUUUUGUAUGCACUCAGUGUAAAACAUCUCAGCACUUUAAGGGUUAAGAUUCAUUCACGAUUCGGCCAUCUUGUAUAAACUUAUCUUGCAUAAUUCAUUUUAAAACUAUUCAAAACUCACGGAUUAGUUAAAGAUAAACAUUAGAAUACAUCAGGAAAAACGUGGUUUAGACUUAGGCAAGUAAAAUGCUAAAGUAUCGAGUCAGUGAGAGCAAUUGCAGUUGAUCUACGUGAGUUGAAUAUAGCCCCAAUACUAAAAACCAGCGAACAUAAGAUUUAUCAUUGUUGAUGUCCAAUAGAUGUAUGUCCAUGUCGCUUUUUUUAACAUCACAUUUCACUGGCUACUGUUCUGGUUAAUUGUUUAAGACCAGGAAGCUUACUAACGUAAUUCUUCUCUGCCGAUGUAAAUAAAAGGGCUAUGGGACUUCUAUAUCACUGCACAGAAUCACCACGAGACUAGAUGCACAAGAAUAGCUCCGCGCCUGAAAUCAUUUAGUUAGUUUCUUUUUUUAUACCAUAUUUUUAUAACAACUUUUCUAAACUUCAAUGUGAACAUCUUUCAAAACGAGCAUAUUGUGAAUAAAAUAGUUGGGAAUGAUA
rnacentral:sRNA from 1 species